UACGUAGGGGGCAAGCGUUGUCCGGAUUUAUUGGGCGUAAAGAGCGUGUAGGCGGCCCGACAGGUCCGUUGUGAAAACUCGAGGCUCAACCUCGAGACGUCGAUGGAAACCGUCGGGCUAGAGUGCGGAAGAGGCGAGUGGAAUUCCUGGUGUAGCGGUGAAAUGCGCAGAUAUCAGGAGGAACACCUAUUGCGAAGGCAGCUCGCUGGGACGUAACUGACGCUGAGACGCGAAAGCGUGGGGAGCAAACAGG
rnacentral:rRNA from 1 species